ACAUUGCACACCUGGUUAAGGCAGACAAGAACUGAAAUAUCUUUCUACCUGAAUUUGCAGGGCUGAGGGGGAGAAUCUUAAAAGUUCGAGUGUAAUGACCUUACAUGGGAAUUUGAACCCAAAAUGAAGAGUUAAAACUUGCCUCAUAAUAAAAGAUGGAUAAAGCCAUUAUUAUCAAAGAGAGGGUCUGCCAGGCACCGGGCUAGGGCAUGUCUUUGAGGUGGAGCGGAAGGCUGCCUCCUACAGCGUUAUUGAGGGUCCCAAGUACAGGGUGAUUUCUCUUCUGUGUAGACCCAAGACCCAAAUCACCCCAGGAAUAUAGGCAAGAGCCGGUGGUGGGCUGCAACAGUUGUGCAGAAGCGGUCAGUGACCCCAUAGAAAGAUGAGCUUUGGGCAAGCACAGACAGGAAGGGUGAAUGAACCCUGACGGUUUAGCAAAGCAAGGCCCAGGUAGUUACAGUAAGAGGUGGUCUUGUCCCGUUCAGUGCUCUGUUAAUUAUCCAUGUGAGCAGGAAUUGUUUCUCUGGAGCAGUUACUGAUACAGAUAUUGAAACAGUUAAUGAAACUCCAUCUGUAUAGCGGCUUCCAAGUGGGAGUGCAGGCUGAAUUCAUUAGUUUCACAUGUUCAGCUUUUUUUUUUUUAAAGCCAGGAGAAAACCCACAGUCCAAACAAACAGCAUUUGUAAAGUUCUGAAAAGACACUGCUACUGGAAAUGAGGAGAUGGGGGGAAAAAUGAAUAAAUGCUUUCAAGCAAAUGCUACUUACUUUAAAAUGAAAAACAAUGGUAAAGGUUUCCAUAUGUAAUUAAAAUCUCAUCCUUGAAGUUACCAUUGCCACUGGCUCCCAAAGAACUCAAUUAACAGGAAACUGCAAAGAAUAUGGUAUUUUCUUCAAGAUACUUUAAGAAGUACUACUAAGAAGACAAUAGGUUGGAGAGUAGCUUUUACCACUAAAUGAUAAGCAAUUACUGUUCCUUCCAGGGUAGAAGAAAAGGGAGUAUGCUAAGAAAAGUAGGUUCAUAAUAUAAAAUUAGAUUUUCAAGUGUGCAUAUUUACCCCUAGACCUAAGCUGAAAAUGAAACGUUUGUGCAAAGUCCAAACUUGACUAAGAAAAUUCUUUAAAAAUAUACCACAACCCCUCCCCUCCCCCACCAUUCAGCCUAUUUCACCUGAGAAAGGAAAGGCACUCCCUACAUGGGCACUUGACUGAGGUCUCCUUGUUCAGACUUGCUUAAAACUGAAGAUGAAACGCAGUCCUGAGGACCACGUCGCUUCUCAAAGUCAGUUUCUAGGAGCCCUGGAUACUAUUUAAUUUCAAAGUAUUGAAUGAGGCUUCCAUGGUAUGUGAUGAUGGUAAAAAGAACAGGGGAUAACUUUUGUCACUCUGCAUGUUAGUGAAGUUGACAACCAAGCCUAGCAGCAGUUUGUGACUUGACCAAACCCUGCUUCAGGUGUCUGCCUCUUGGAGUUGCUAAAAAUUGGCUCUUGGAAGUUUAGCAUCUAAAACAAGCCGCUGCAGAGCCCGGGCACUGACAGACUGGAGGCUUUCUCACCCUGCCGAAGGUGGACCACCAUCCACACCUGGGAAGAGGCAAAUGGCAGCACAGCUAUUAGCUAAUGAGCAAAAGCAGGGACACCUGGGAUCAAAAAAUUAAAUGAUAAAUAAAUAAAUACCAGCAAACUAUCUGUUCGUCUCUACCUGGGAGGACCUAGGAAGGCUAAAUAGCACCUUCAUUUCUGGACUUUCCCUUUGAUCGCAGCAGCAGACCCUGGGAAUUAUUCCUUCUUUUCUUACAGACUUUUCAGCACCCACCUUCCAUACCCACUAGUGCAUGCCACCUCAGCCAUCCAAAGCAGUGGGAAGAAAGGACAGAACAUGGCUUUGAGCCUGGUAUGGGACAGGCAUGGAAUAAAGGUGGCCUUCUGUAUUCCUCAAACAAAUGAUCUGUCCUGGAGACAGCACGCCAUGGAGCGUAUGGUUAAGCAAGGGAUCGGGGGGACAUGAGACAUGUUGAACUGCAAGAUUCCACUCCUGACGCCAGAAUUUGUCAAGAGGACUGCAUUGUUGUUUCUCACUGAGGCAUAGGACUGACUGUGGGCCAUUGUUUCUCCAGCUCAAGUGGGCCUGUCUGGUUCGUGUUGGAAGAAUGGGGGUGACAUGCGUGAGUUCCCAAGUAUAAAGGAACUACCGGUUCUAGAAAAGCAUGAGAGUUUAGCCACUAAUGCAGAGUAAAUAAACAUUUUUCACCA